rnacentral:rRNA from 1 species
AGAGUUUGAUCCUGGCUCAGGAUGAACGCUGGCGGCGCAUUUAAGACAUGCAAGUCGAACGGAGAUUUAUCUAAACAAAUUGAGUAGUUUACUACGAGAAGAGUUUUUAUAAAUUUUAGUGGCGGACGGGUGAGUAAUACGUAGGCAACCUGCCUCAAAGAGGGAAAUAACUAGAAGAAAUUUUAGCUAAUGUCCCAUAAGACUACACUAUGGCAUCAUAGAGCAGUCAAAGGAGUAAUCCGCUUUGAGAUGGGCCUACGGCUGAUUAGUUAGUUGGUGAGGUAAUGGCUCACCAAGACCAUGAUCAGUAGCCGGGCUGAGAGGCUGUACGGCCACAUUGGGACUGAGACACGGCCCAGACUCCUACGGGAGGCAGCAGUUGGGAAUAUUGGACAAUGGGGGAAACCCUGAUCCAGUGACGCCGCGUGAAGGAAGAAGGUCUUCGGAUUGUAAACUUAUUUUGUCAGGGAAGAAAAAAAUGACUGUACCUGAAGAAGAAGGACCGGCUAACUACGUGCCAGCAGCCGCGGUAAUACGUAGGGUCCAAGCGUUAUCCGGAUUUACUGGGUGUAAAGGGCGAGUAGACGGCGUGAUAAGUCAGAUGUGAAAUCUUAGGGCUCAACCUUAAGACUGCAUCUGAAACUGUCAUGCUAGAGUGCAGAAGAGGUAAGUGGAAUUCCUAGUGUAGCGGUGAAAUGCGUAGAUAUUAGGAGGAACACCAGUGGCGAAGGCGACUUACUGGGCUGUAACUGACGUUGAGGCGCGAAAGUGUGGGGAGCAAACAGGAUUAGAUACCCUGGUAGUCCACACCGUAAACGAUGGAUACUA